rnacentral:misc_RNA from 1 species
AAAAUGCGAUAAGUAAUGUGAAUUGCAGAAUUCAGUGAAUCAUCGAAUCUUUGAACGCACAUUGCGCCCGCCAGUAUUCUGGCGGGCAUGCCUGUUCGAGCGUCAUUUCAACCCUCAAGCUCAGCUUGGUGUUGGGACUCGCGGUAACCCGCGUUCCCCAAAUCGAUUGGCGGUCACGUCGGGCUUCCAUAGCGUAGUAAUCAUACACCUCGUUACUGGUAAUCGUCGCGGCCACGCCGUAAAACCCCAACUUCUGAAUGUUGACCUCGGAUCAGGUAGGAAUACCCGCUGAACUUAAGC